rnacentral:rRNA from 1 species
UACGGGGGGGGGCAAGCGUUGUUCGGAAUUACUGGGCGUAAAGGGCUCGUAGGCGGCCAACUAAGUCAGACGUGAAAUCCCUCGGCUUAACCGGGGAACUGCGUCUGAUACUGGAUGGCUUGAGGUUGGGAGAGGGAUGCGGAAUUCCAGGUGUAGCGGUGAAAUGCGUAGAUAUCUGGAGGAACACCGGUGGCGAAGGCGGCAUCCUGGACCAAUUCUGACGCUGAGGAGCGAAAGCCAAGGGAGCAAAACGGGG